rnacentral:lncRNA from 1 species
UGUGCUGCUUCAUUGUGAGCUCGUGAGUCAUUAGGGAUCCAAGAAGCUCUUCAAGUGGAAGCUUGUUCAAGUCCUUAGCUUCUUGGAUUGCCGUCACCUUGGCUUUCCAUGACCUUGGUAGACAGCGAAGAAUUUUUCUGACAAGCUCACUGUUAGUAUAGUUUUUGCCAAGGCUUUUUAGGCCAUUGACAAUGUCAGUGAAUCUAGUGAACAUGCAAGUGAUUGUUUCAUUAGAGUCCAUUUUAAAUAGUUCAUACUUAUGAACCAAUAUAUUUAUUUUGGAUUCUUUAACUUGAUUCGUGCCCUCAUGGGUCACUUCAAGUCUAUCCCAAAUCUCUUUUGCAGAGUUG